rnacentral:lncRNA from 1 species
CAACAUGACCACGACCUUUGAGCCUCUUUAUAUUGAUCACUAUCUGCUUUAGUCUAUCCAUACAUACAAUUUUGGCUGGCAUUAGUUACUAGCUUCGUUCAAUCUAUCCCUAUGGCAAGCUUGAGAAUAUCAUGCCUUGUCCUUCUCUUCACGUCAAUUCUGAUCUGCCAAGAAGCUCGUCCUCUACCUUUCACCUUCUCAAGAAGUAAUCAAAGCCAUGCAUUUUCAGGGAGUGCCACAAAAUUGGUUAAGGAGCUUUUGCUAAGGAAGCAAUUGCUUGGUACGGAAAAUUAUGAGCCUAAUCGACUCAGUCCAGGUGGUCCAGACCCUCUUCAUCACUAAUGAAUGUGCAAUUAAUGCAUGAAAACUUGAGAAUCAUAGAUUCAUGCAACAGGAAAAGGAAAGAUUGUUAUUGUCACUGCAUUUACCUUCCCACGUACGCAUUCCUUUUAGAAUUAGGAGUCCAUAAAUCAUUUUAUUGCAUAAAAUGAUUUAUUUGACCAUUUUUAGUUGAUUCUUAAGAAGAAUCACAAAGAGGGUAGGUGGAAUGAUCCUAGAAUAUUCUCUGUCGUCUGUAGCUAAAUUUUCAGUUAACGAAACUUUCUCAUUUGUUUUUGUGCGAGAUUAAUUUAAGGUUUUAAAUUGUGAUUGUUGUUAUAGUCACGGUCGCUGACAGGAAAUUAACAUUGUAGCUGAAAUUGCAGUCAGACCAUUUUUUAAAAUGUUGAUGAUGUUCAAUCUUAACUUGUUAAAUCCUAGCUAGUUUAUGUUGUCAAGACUCAGAGUGAGAUCUUCUGAAUAAUUUAAUCUCUUCACAUUUUUGAAGAGUACAGGUCAUAGUUUCCAG